ensembl:snRNA U6 U6 spliceosomal RNA
GUGCCCGCUUUGGCAGCACAUAUACUAAAAUUAGAACGAUACAGAGAUUAGCAUGGCCCCUGCGCAAGGAUGACACACACACACACACACAAAUUAAAUAAAAUC